rnacentral:lncRNA from 1 species
GCCAUUCCUGAGAACUCUAGGCUGUUUAUCUCCCUGCUCUCAGGGCUGACAAGGCCAUGCAGAAUUCCCAUGUGAAGACAGAACAUAACCUCCAGGUCCAAGUUCUGCAGGUGGAAAGGAAGGUGCACCAGGAGGCUUGUCUUGGAAGAGAUUCCAGACCCUGUCAAACUGACAGGAACCAUCACACUUCUCUCGAUUACAAUUAAUGGAUUCUGGAUCAUCUCAAAUAUGUGGGUUUUCCAGUUGACAGCCUCCUACAACUGCGUAAAUUGCAUACGAAAGUUAUGUCUGUAACACUGUUGUAAAGCAGGAGUAUAGCUGGUUCAAAGAAGAACAGGAAGAGUCAUGGUUACAGAGCAUUGCUUCCAGAACCAAAGAAUUCAUCAUACAUGCUUGAAAAGAAAACAAGAGAGGGAGGCAAAAGCUGGAUGACACAGGCACCAAUAAUCAGAGAAGAUAAUGAAAGACAUCCAGGAAUCACUCAUAUUCUAAGGUCAUGGUCUUAUGGAAUGGCUGUACUAAAUUUGAAUUAUCAGUUGAGGUCUUCAUGAAAGAUAUCCAAAACUUGAUCUUCACUGAAAAACAAGACUGAAGGCAAGCAGAAGGUUGUUUUGGCAAAGCAUACUGAACUGAUAAAGAACUAAUUAGUGUAUUUGAGUUCAGGCCUUGGGACAUUUUGUCCAAAUGCUUUCUUUUUAAUUCAUAAUUUAAAAUGUACCUCUCUCUUUUACUUUGAAACGCAUGCUUCCUUUGGAGUAAAUUCUGAUGGUAUAUAAAGGAGUGAGUUAUAUCUAAAUGAUUUAAAUGUGUUCACCAUGAAUUGCCAGUAACUGUUUUACUCUCCUGACAUUAUAAAAUCUGUCAAAUAUAAUUCAGGAAGAUGUCAAGCAUUAAACAGAGAU